rnacentral:rRNA from 1 species
GGGGGGACGGAGAAGGCUAGGUGGGCCUGGCGACGGUUGUCCAGGUUCAAGUGCGUAGGCUUGAGAGUUAGGUAAAUCCGGCUCUUUUUAAGGCUGAGACACGACGUCGAGCCACUACGGUGGUGUAGUCAUUGAUGCCAUGCUUCCAGGAAAAGCCUCUAAGCUUCAGAUUGUAAGGAAUCGUACCCCAAACCGACACAGGUGGUCGGGUAGAGAAUACCAAGGCGCUUGAGAGAACUCGGGUGAAGGAACU